CAUGGCCCGGGGAGCUGAGGUUAGUUCACAGAUUGUCACUGUGGCGCUGCAGCCCGUGAUCUAUAGCAGCAAGAACGUCUGGGAAGGGAGGCGAGACGUCUUUCGACAGAAACGGCGACACCUAGAGUGUGCGGGGACAGAUCGCAGAAGCCUGCCAGAAGCUUUGGCUCUUCGAAGCAGACUUCAUUCCAUUCAGAAAUUGAGCACUAGCUGGGGUGUUGGGCGUGGCCCUUCAGCGGCGCACCUUUGUCUCGUUUCCCAAUCAAGCUCAUGGCUAUUAAAGGGCUGUGUUGGAUGAUUCAUUCACCUUGUUUGCUGCUUGUGUCCAGGUGCUGUUUUCUAGACCUCGUGUUCUCGCUUAGAGUUGCUUUAUUUUCUCAAUAGAUUUUGGUUUUGUAACUGUGUUUGUUAUCAAGUUGUGUUGGGACUCGUUUUACUUUUGUGUGUUUGGACAAUUUUGCCAUUUUGAUUCAUGGAUUUUCUGUCACCAACUUUGCCUCGUUGUUUGCAAGCACUUUUGGUUCUCAUUUGGUUUGUCUGUCUUUUUGUCACCAACAUUUGUGUUGACACGUCAGUCUUUUGCUUUCCUUGAAAUAAA